rnacentral:rRNA from 1 species
AUGGCCGCCGCCACCUCCCCACCCAUGGCCAUCUGCCCCUCUGCGUCCCGCCACCGCCGCGAUGACAACCUCGUCCCCAGAGGCGGGGACUUCCCUGAAGCGAACCUAGCGGCGUUACAGUUGAUGUGGGUCGGGCGGCGGUCAGAUCUGCCACAGCCAGAACCGGCAUCCUCUUCCUCCCUAUCCAGCUUCCUCCCAAGGAUCCCAUGA